AUCCCUGAUGGGAGAAUCUUCACCUCUGCCAACAAAGAAGCCUGCUGGAUAUUUGUUUACAGUCUGAUGAUGGGACACCAUGAUCUGCAUCUUCAAAGUUUGUCUCUUGAUUAUUAUUCAUACACAGUAAUGUGAAGUAUGCUUAUAUCUAGUAUAACUGGACCAACCUGGUGCUCUUCAUUUAUGGAGGCUGUUGAGUCUGAAUGUUGGAUGUUGUGUAUCUCGUGUUCUCUGGGCUUUGUUGUCCUCAGUCUUUUUGCAGGAUCAGAAAACAAAACCAGGAGGCCUGUAAAUGUUUCUUCUCCAAUUGGAUGAUGAUAAGACCGUGACAUGGGAUGCCACCUUUAGUCUUGUGAUGAAGCAAAGCUCAGGAAGAAGUGUGAUUAAAUGGUCCCCACAUGUGUGCUGCUGAGAAGGAUGUACAGGGGCACCUGCAGCCAAAUCCAAGCCUCCUCAGCAACUUCAGGUCUGUCAGCGUGCUGAGGUCACAGAAACAAGAAAAGCAGCUUCAGACUUCAGAGUGUUGUUUACAGUUUUCUGUCAUCAUGAUCUCCCCUGAAGUUUAUCAAGCAAGCAGAGCAGCAGUUUGUGCUCACAGAUGGUGACGGUGUGGAGAGACGGUGGUGUUUCCUCAGAGGAACUAGCAGAGUCACAAAGGGCACGAGUCCAUCUCACCACCUUGACUUGCUGACUGAUGCUCGUCUGCACU